CGCUCUNUGAAAAAAAAGAUAAAGAGUCGGGCCUGCCCUGUGUGAAAAUUAACGGCUGCAACGAGAGUUGUACUAAGGUAGCAUAGUAACUUGUCCUCUAAUUAAGGAAUAGAAUGAAUGGUUUGAUGUAGAAUAGCUGUCUCCAUAGAAAUUUGUGAAUUUUCCUUUUAAGUGAAAAGGCUUAAUUAUUUGUAAAAGACGAGAAGACCCUGUCGAGUUUAAUUGAAAUUUUUAUAAAGUUAUAAUUUUUAAUCUUUAUUGGGGCAAUAUAAAUCAAAAUAACGGUUUAUAAAAAAUAACUAAGAUCCUUUUUAGAAAGAAAUAGGCAAAAACUACCGCAGGGAUAACAGCGUUAUCCUUUUUAAGAGAUCGAAUUGAGAAAAGGGUUUGCGACCUCGAUGUUGGAUUAGGAAAACUUUAUGGUGUAGCAGCUAUAAAUAGUAAGACUGUUCGUCUUUUAAUUUUU
rnacentral:rRNA from 1 species